AUCUAUCUCUCUAUCUCUCGUUUCCAACAUGAUCGGUCGUCAUUUUCGUAAUACAACCACGCGUCGCGCGCGUAUUACGCACAAGUCUCUAUCGUUCUUGGCCUCUCUUUCUCUCUCUUUCUCUUGCUCUCCGUCUCCCACCAGAUUUGAUGAUUUCAGCUCCACGCAUACUUGGACUUUCCGUCAGAUCGGCGCCGAGUAUCAUCAUCAGUUGCGCGAUAUACACCGCCGGACAGUCCGAAACUACGAUCAACUACUGCCUUUCAUGCCGCCUCGUACACCGCGAUUCGCGAGGCUUUUCAUAUUCAUUGCGGUCGCUUUAGACUAGGGAUCGCGCGUCGGAUGGUAUUUUCAACCGCGAGUUCUUCCUGAUAUUCUCACGAGUGUAUUCUUGGCGAGAACACGCGUCCCUCGCGUUCGCCUCGCGGAGCGCCACGAAUAAACAGGAAGACGAGUGAGAAGCCGCAGAGAAGCAUGGCGAGAAUCGCGAUGUAAAGGCACGCGAUGAGAGAACCGGGAGAACGGUCAGACGUGAGACUCUUCAAAUUGGCAUCUUGACAUUCCUUGAAAUUGGAUCGAAGAAGAAGUGAGCGGACCCGUGUGAUCCCACUCGUUUGUAGCUAGAAGAAUUUUUGGAGUAAUUCGAACAAUUGACCCGAGAGUUCACCGAAGAAUUUAUUUCGAAGCUUCAACCUGAUGUGAACGAUUCGAUGACGGCAGAACGAAGGUGGUCGACCAUGGAUCUUCGUACGUCCUGUUGGCUCAUUUUCCUUCUCAUAGCUUUCGUAGACAGCUACGAAUCCGUCAGUACCACUAACAAAUGGACACUAUGCUUAGCCGACAGCGUACAUACAACCCAAAAAAUUCUUUCGCUCUGUCCGAAACUGGCUAAGAGUCCAAUAGAAUGUGUCAUAGAAGCUGAUAGAUUUGGCUGUUUACGUCGAGUGGUCAGUGGUGACGUUGAUAUCACUGUAUUGGAGCCAGAAGAACUCGUGGCGAUAAGAAAUUAUAAAUUAUACAAUGUACUAGUCACAAAUGAAUUGAGACUCUUCCAAGACGACGACCAUCGUUUCGAAGUAGUGGCCAUUGCAAACAAAAAUGUACGACGCAUAUGGGACGUUAAAGGCAAGCGAUUGUGUCAUCCUGGUUUAGAUACCGUCGACGAUUGGACUAAGGUUUUCUCGACUUACUUCGAGAACUUGAUAAUUAAGAAAGAAUGCGACGCCAAUAUGACACUGUUCGAGAACAGAAUACACGCCUUGUCCAACUACUUCGAAAUGGCUUGCAUCGCUGGCCCCUGGACGGCCGACACAAUAUUUGAUUAUCAAUUAAAAUCGAAAUAUAGGAAUCUUUGUGCCGCUUGCGAGAGACCGGCGAGUUGUUACAACACCGACAGGUACUACGGACGAGAGGGUGCCCUGUUGUGUCUCACCGAUGGCAUGGGUGACGUAGCUUGGGUCAGAUUGGGCGACGCCCGCGUACAUUUCGAGACCCAGACCAUGAUCGACGCACAAGAUUACAAAUUUCUAUGCUCGGAUGGCACCACGAGGCCGCUCAAUUUCAAGGAACCCUGCGUUUGGAUAUCAAAACCGUGGCCCGUCAUCGUAGCUAAACCAACGAUCGCCGAGAAUAUCGCCAGGACGAUGAACUCGAUGAUGAACAGAACGUCCAGCUGGGAGUCGAGUGUCCUGCAGCUGAUGGAGAACUAUUACAUCAGUUCGACUAACGUGCAAGAUUUGCAAACACCCGAUGACUACUUACAUCGAUAUCCAAACUUCCUGAGUGCUAACGUUCGAACGGGUUGUCAGCCAUCAAGAGAUGUACAUUGGUGUCUGGUGUCCAGUCUCGAGAAACGUAAAUGCAGUUGGUUAAGAGAUGCUUCCAUCGUUUAUGGCGUGGAGCCAUUGAUCUCUUGCCUUCAGAAGGAUAGCAGAGAGGCGUGCUUGGAGGCUGUACGAAACGGAGAGAUGGACAUCUUCUUGGCGCGGCCCGAAGAGCUUCUCGAUGCCAGAAUAAAAGGUUUGAAGCCUAUCAUCCACGCGAUGGCAAACACGCGGCAAGGAUUGAAUAGAAUCGCGGCGGUUGUCAAGAGGAAUUCCAGGUUUAGGGUUCUGAAGGAUCUCAAAGGUGCCAAGGCUGCCUUCACGGGCUACAGAAGCGUCGGCUGGAACGCUUUCGUAACGUUAAUGAGGAACGACUCGGGCGAAAAUUGGGAUUGCUCAGAUGCGCAAGCCGUUUCGAAGUUCUUCAAAGAUAGCUGCGUCCUCGAUUGGAACAACAAAGAUAAUGACAACAAGCUCCCAACCAAUUUAUACUCGUUAUGUAAGAAAGAUGCAAAAGAAACGGUGGAUGAUCUAACUGCCUUUAGUUAUCUAACUUCCGAUAUCGUCGACGUUGCCUUCGUCAAUCUGAAAGUCAUAGAAAACAAGACAGAAGCUGGUGACUUUUAUUACGAAAGGAUCGAUCAUAAAAAUAUAAAUCGUAUGCCCAGAUACAGAGUAUUAGGCCCAACCUUGGCGGAAGCUAUAAAAAGAGUUCCAUAUGUGAUCGCUUGGACAUCUCUCGGCUCGAUAAUGGCGCAUGAAAAUAUCACGGAUCUAAGACGCCAGGAAAUUUAUUCGAUGCUGCUCGAAAUGGACAAGAUAUUCGGAAGAAAAUUUAAUGGACAGGCACCGACGUUCCUAUUAUACGGUUCUUAUGAGGAUAAUCAUGGUGUUAUCUUUCCCGUCAACCACGGCCACGCGACACGGCCACGAAGAUUAUUUCCCCCGGCAGGAUGUCAAAAGACCGACAGUGCACGAUUUGGUGUACGAAUAUUUGGGCAAAUGCGCCAAUCAAAACGUGAAGUGGAUGCAACAGAAAUGCGCGUGUAACAAAUUCAACAGGCAAUACGCGAGGAGGAGAGACAUUCGCGGACGUGACGUAGCGACAACUCGUCCGAGUCUCGAUGAAGAUAUCGCCGAGGGAUCACGCGCAGGCAGAAAUGUGCUUUUGAAGAGAGCAUCCAGAAGCUCGUCACGAGUAUACAUCGCCGAUUACACGAAAGCUGUUCGCGAUGGUCGAAGACGCGCAAAGCUCUACGUGCGAGAUGCGCUUUUAUACGGCAUGCAAUCCGGAUUAUUAAUUCCGAUCAAUCGACGGAAGAAUUUAUUACGUGUUUCGCAAGAGCUGGAAAUGUUCUCGUCAAGAAACGAUAGACGAAAAGAAGACGAUGAAGACCGAUCAAAUAUCGCGACCAGCGAUACUGAAUACUCCGUCCGGACUUGAUUGUAAUAAAUUCCAUCACCGAAAAUAUGAAGCAACAUAAUUUAUAAUAUUUACAGCAAUGUUAAUUUCUAAUUCUACAAUUAUUUAUUAAAUAUA